rnacentral:rRNA from 1 species
UACAAACAGUGCGAGUGUUAUUCAUCUUUAUUGGGCGUAAAGGGUACGUAGGUGGUUUAAAAAACUUUGUUUGAAAUGCUGGAAUUUAAAUUUUAGAAUAAACAAAAAAUUAUUAAACUUUGAGUUAAAAAUAAGUUUGAAGAAUUUCUCAACAGUUUUAAAGGGGUCAAAUCCAAGCAAGUGGGACGGACUUCCAACAGCGAAAGCAUCUUUCAAUUUUUAACUGACACUGAGGUACGGAGACCUAGGUAAUCAACAGG